GGGGCGCGGGGCAGAGUGAAGCUGCGCAGCAUGCGCGUGUGUGAAGAAGGCCUUCGGGUUGUAAAGCUCUUUUGUCAGGGAGGACGGGUACUGGGUUAAUACCCUUGUGGCUUGACGGUACCUUGACAGAAAGCCCCGGCUAACUUCGUGCCAGCAGCCGCGGUAAUAACGGAGCCAGCAG
rnacentral:rRNA from 1 species